rnacentral:rRNA from 1 species
CAAUAGCGUAUAUUAAAGUUGUUGCGGUAAAAAAGCUCGUAGUUGGAUUUCUACCGAAGAUAGCCGGUCGGGUCUUCGACCUUGUAUCUGGUUUUGUCUUUGGUAUCCUCAUAGGGAACGUUUCUGCGCUUUAUUGCGUGGUGCGGUAUCUAUGACUUUUACUUUGAGGAAAUUAGAGUGUUCACGGCAGGCAAACGCCUUGAAUAUAUUAGCAUGGAAUAAUAACAUAGGAUCUUCGUCCUAUUUUGUUGGUUUCUAGGGAUAAGAUAAUGAUUAAUAGGGAUAAUUGGGGGCAUCCGUAUCAACGCGUCAGAAGUGGAAUUCUUGGAUUGCGUUGCGACAAACUACUGCGAAAGCAUUUGCCAAGGAUGUUUUCAUUGA